rnacentral:rRNA from 1 species
GGGUUGUGAGGUUAAGCGACUAAGCGUACACGGUGGAUGCCCUGGCAGUCAGAGGCGAUGAAGGACGUGCUAAUCUGCGAUAAGCGUCGGUAAGGUGAUAUGAACCGUUAUAACCGGCGAUUUCCGAAUGGGGAAACCCAGUGUGAUUCGUCACACUAUCAUUAACUGAAUCCAUAGGUUAAUGAGGCGAACCGGGGGAACUGAAACAUCUAAGUACCCCGAGGAAAAGAAAUCAACCGAGAUUCCCCCAGUAGCGGCGAGCGAACGGGGAGCAGCCCAGAGCCUGAAUCAGUGUGUGUGUUAGUGGAAGCGUCUGGAAAGGCGCGCGAUACAGGGUGACAGCCCCGUACACAAAAAUGCACAUGCUGUGAGCUCGAUGAGUAGGGCGGGACACGUGGUAUCCUGUCUGAAUAUGGGGGGACCAUCCUCCAAGGCUAAAUACUCCUGACUGACCGAUAGUGAACCAGUACCGUGAGGGAAAGGCGAAAAGAACCCCGGCGAGGGGAGUGAAAAAGAACCUGAAACCGUGUACGUACAAGCAGUGGGAGCACAGAGCAAUCUGUGUGACUGCGUACCUUUUGUAUAAUGGGUCAGCGACUUAUAUUCUGUAGCAAGGUUAACCGAAUAGGGGAGCCGAAGGGAAACCGAGUCUUAACUGGGCGUUAAGUUGCAGGGUAUAGACCCGAAACCCGGUGAUCUAGCCAUGGGCAGGUUGAAGGUUGGGUAACACUAACUGGAGGACCGAACCGACUAAUGUUGAAAAAUUAGCGGAUGACUUGUGGCUGGGGGUGAAAGGCCAAUCAAACCGGGAGAUAGCUGGUUCUCCCCGAAAGCUAUUUAGGUAGCGCCUCGUGAAUUCAUCUCCGGGGGUAGAGCACUGUUUCGGCAAGGGGGUCAUCCCGACUUACCAACCCGAUGCAAACUGCGAAUACCGGAGAAUGUUAUCACGGGAGACACACGGCGGGUGCUAACGUCCGUCGUGAAGAGGGAAACAACCCAGACCGCCAGCUAAGGUCCCAAAGUCAUGGUUAAGUGGGAAACGAUGUGGGAAGGCCCAGACAGCCAGGAUGUUGGCUUAGAAGCAGCCAUCAUUUAAAGAAAGCGUAAUAGCUCACUGGUCGAGUCGGCCUGCGCGGAAGAUGUAACGGGGCUAAACCAUGCACCGAAGCUGCGGCAGCGACGCUUAUGCGUUGUUGGGUAGGGGAGCGUUCUGUAAGCCUGUGAAGGUGUACUGUGAGGUAUGCUGGAGGUAUCAGAAGUGCGAAUGCUGACAUAAGUAACGAUAAAGCGGGUGAAAAGCCCGCUCGCCGGAAGACCAAGGGUUCCUGUCCAACGUUAAUCGGGGCAGGGUGAGUCGACCCCUAAGGCGAGGCCGAAAGGCGUAGUCGAUGGGAAACAGGUUAAUAUUCCUGUACUUGGUGUUACUGCGAAGGGGGGACGGAGAAGGCUAUGUUGGCCGGGCGACGGUUGUCCCGGUUUAAGCGUGUAGGCUGGUUUUCCAGGCAAAUCCGGAAAAUCAAGGCUGAGGCGUGAUGACGAGGCACUACGGUGCUGAAGCAACAAAUGCCCUGCUUCCAGGAAAAGCCUCUAAGCAUCAGGUAACAUCAAAUCGUACCCCAAACCGACACAGGUGGUCAGGUAGAGAAUACCAAGGCGCUUGAGAGAACUCGGGUGAAGGAACUAGGCAAAAUGGUGCCGUAACUUCGGGAGAAGGCACGCUGAUAUGUAGGUGAAGUCCCUCGCGGAUGGAGCUGAAAUCAGUCGAAGAUACCAGCUGGCUGCAACUGUUUAUUAAAAACACAGCACUGUGCAAACACGAAAGUGGACGUAUACGGUGUGACGCCUGCCCGGUGCCGGAAGGUUAAUUGAUGGGGUCAGCGCAAGCGAAGCUCUUGAUCGAAGCCCCGGUAAACGGCGGCCGUAACUAUAACGGUCCUAAGGUAGCGAAAUUCCUUGUCGGGUAAGUUCCGACCUGCACGAAUGGCGUAAUGAUGGCCAGGCUGUCUCCACCCGAGACUCAGUGAAAUUGAACUCGCUGUGAAGAUGCAGUGUACCCGCGGCAAGACGGAAAGACCCCGUGAACCUUUACUAUAGCUUGACACUGAACAUUGAGCCUUGAUGUGUAGGAUAGGUGGGAGGCUUUGAAGUGUGGACGCCAGUCUGCAUGGAGCCGACCUUGAAAUACCACCCUUUAAUGUUUGAUGUUCUAACGUUGACCCGUGAUCCGGGUUGCGGACAGUGUCUGGUGGGUAGUUUGACUGGGGCGGUCUCCUCCUAAAGAGUAACGGAGGAGCACGAAGGUUGGCUAAUCCUGGUCGGACAUCAGGAGGUUAGUGCAAUGGCAUAAGCCAGCUUGACUGCGAGCGUGACGGCGCGAGCAGGUGCGAAAGCAGGUCAUAGUGAUCCGGUGGUUCUGAAUGGAAGGGCCAUCGCUCAACGGAUAAAAGGUACUCCGGGGAUAACAGGCUGAUACCGCCCAAGAGUUCAUAUCGACGGCGGUGUUUGGCACCUCGAUGUCGGCUCAUCACAUCCUGGGGCUGAAGUAGGUCCCAAGGGUAUGGCUGUUCGCCAUUUAAAGUGGUACGCGAGCUGGGUUUAGAACGUCGUGAGACAGUUCGGUCCCUAUCUGCCGUGGGCGCUGGAGAACUGAGGGGGGCUGCUCCUAGUACGAGAGGACCGGAGUGGACGCAUCACUGGUGUUCGGGUUGUCAUGCCAAUGGCACUGCCCGGUAGCUAAAUGCGGAAGAGAUAAGUGCUGAAAGCAUCUAAGCACGAAACUUGCCCCGAGAUGAGUUCUCCCUGACUCCUUGAGAGUCCUGAAGGAACGUUGAAGACGACGACGUUGAUAGGCCGGGUGUGUAAGCGCAGCGAUGCGUUGAGCUAACCGGUACUAAUGAACCGUGAGG